UACGAAGGGGGCUAGCGUUGCUCGGAAUCACUGGGCGUAAAGCGCACGUAGGCGGCUUAUUAAGUCAGGGGUGAAAUCCUGGAGCUCAACUCCAGAACUGCCUUUGAUACUGAUGAGCUUGAGUUCGGGAGAGGUGAGUGGAACUGCGAGUGUAGAGGUGAAAUUCGUAGAUAUUCGCAAGAACACCAGUGGCGAAGGCGGCAUCCUGGACCGGCAUUGACGCUGAGGCGCGAAAGCCAGGGGAGCAAACGGG
rnacentral:rRNA from 1 species